CCGGCACGGGUGAGUAACACGUAUCCAACCUGCCGUCUACUCUUGGCCAGCCUUCUGAAGGAAGAUUAAUCCAGGAUGGCAUCAUGAGUUCACAUGUCCGCAUGAUUAAAGGUAUUUUCCGGUAGACGAUGGGAUGCGUUCCAUUAGAUAGUAGGCGGGGUAACGGCCCACCUAGUCAACGAUGGAUAGGGGUUCUGAGAGGAAGGUCCCCCACAUUGGAACUGAGACACGGUCCAA
rnacentral:rRNA from 1 species